CCAGCAUGUGAUGGAGGUGAGACUCAACCCCUCUCUGUUUUUCAUGGCAACAUGCUCUCAGGUUUAUACCGCUUUAAGAAAAGUGGGAAAAGAAAGAAAAAAAAGGCAUAAGGACGUGGGUUACAUGCAAUUUUAGUACUGUACGAUUGCUAUUACUAAAGAUACCACCAAAGAAAUUAUGGGUUUUGCUUUGCUGGGAAUUUUAGAGGUCUCGGUGGUCAGUUCUUCUACUUAAGAGCGCUGGAGGAGGGAGGACGGGAAAGGAAACAGAUGGCCUCUGCCUGCACAAAAGGACAGCUGGGCUCUGUACGUCUCACCCUCCACAGAGGGGAAAUUUGGACACUGAGAUCAACAGGCACAUAAGGAAGAUGAAGCAAAGACACACAGGGAGAAGGCGAUAAGUGAAGGAUUGGAGAAAUACAUCCACAAACCGAGGAAUGCCCAGGGCUCCCAGAAGCAGGAGAGAGGCAGGAGCAGGCCCUUCCCUCGCAGCUUCAGAGGGAGCAUGGCUCACCCAGCACCUUGAUGUCAGGCUUCUGGCCUCCAGAGGGAUGAGACAAUAAAUGUCUGUUGUUUAAAGCUACACUUUUUGUGGUAUUUUGUUGCAGCAUCUCUGGAAUAUUAAUACAGCACACAAUCCAAUGUUGUUGUUCUUCCUUAGGCCAUUCAUUCAACAAAUAUUUCAAACUAAGUGCUGGGGAUUUGUUCAGAGGUGAACAGAUCCUGUUUCUGCUCACGAGUGGCUCAUGUCCUAGUUAGGGACACAAACACAUC